rnacentral:rRNA from 2 species
UACACGGUGGAUGCCCUGGCAGUCAGAGGCGAUGAAGGGCGUGCUAAUCUGCGAUAAGCGCCGGUAAGGUGAUAUGAACCGUUAUAACCGGCGAUACCCGAAUGGGGAAACCCAGUGUGAUUCGUCACACUAUCAUUAACUGAAUCCAUAGGUUAAUGAGGCGAACCGGGGGAACUGAAACAUCUAAGUACCCCGAGGAAAAGAAAUCAACCGAGAUUCCCCCAGUAGCGGCGAGCGAACGGGGAGGAGCCCAGAGCCUGAAUCAGCAUGUGUGUUAGUGGAAGCGUCUGGAAAGGCGCGCGAUACAGGGUGACAGCCCCGUACACAAAAGCGCAUGUGCUGUGAGCUCGAUGAGUAGGGCGGGACACGUGGUAUCCUGUCUGAAUAUGGGGGGACCAUCCUCCAAGGCUAAAUACUCCUGACUGACCGAUAGUGAACCAGUACCGUGAGGGAAAGGCGAAAAGAACCCCGGCGAGGGGAGUGAAAAAGAACCUGAAACCGUGUACGUACAAGCAGUGGGAGCACAGGUUUACCUGUGUGACUGCGUACCUUUUGUAUAAUGGGUCAGCGACUUAUAUUCUGUAGCAAGGUUAACCGAAUAGGGGAGC